UGCCAGCCGCCGCGGUAAUACGUAUGUCUCGAGCGUUACCCGGAAUCACUGGGUGUAAAGGGUUCGUAGGCGGUUUUAUAAGUUGGAUAUUAAAGACCGGAGCUCAACUCCGAAUUUGUAUUCAAAACUGUAAAACUAGAAUUAGGGAGAGGUAAGCGGAAUUCUAAGUGUAGGGGUGCAAUCCGUAGAUACUUAGAGGAACACCAAAAGCGAAGGCAGCUUACUGGAACUAUAUUGACGCUGAGGAACGAAAGCGUGGGGAGCGAAAAGGAUUAGAUA
rnacentral:rRNA from 1 species